GCAAAAACAUCAAAUGGUCCAAUGCAUCAUUAAGGCCCCGCCUUGCCCUUCACUUAUCUCAGGGCUGGAGAGUUCAGAACAGAUUACAGACGACGAGUCUUUCUGGGGAGGCCCCUCCACCCUUAAAAUCUGUUUAGUUGAUGGUCAACUUUGGCGCACUUGAUUGUACAGUAAUCUAUACCUAAUGCCAGAUGCAUUUAUUUCCUCUAUUUUGAUAGCUGUGUAUCAAAGCAUUAAAACAGGCUUGAAGACCGUUUGGUCAUAAAAAUAUUAUCAGUUUGAUAUAAUUUAAGUCUAGCAUACUUUGUUUGAUUAAUGUAAUUGUGGUUUUGUAUCGUGGGUAAUAAUAAU